ACACACAAACAUCCACCCCACCCAAAAAGAACAGGCCGGAGGGGAGCAGAGGGGGGGGGUGGUCACACGGUGAGCUGCCCACCCCCACCCCCACAUAGACACACAAGAACACAUACACACACCCCUGCCCUGGGCCCUCUCCCUGCAGGACAGAGUCUGCAACGUGACCCCACUUCACAGACAAAAGACUGAGGCACAGGAGGCUGGGGAACCCUGCUCUGAGGACUGGCGCUGGGGAAGCGUCUGCUCUCGUCCGGGCUCCCACGGGCAGUUAACUGGAGAAGAUCCAGGACACCCCGGGGGCCGCUCAGAGUGGGAGUCAGAGACCUCGGCUCCCAGUCCCUCCAGGAUGGAAAGUGAGAGCCUCCAGUGCCUGCUUCCCGCCCCUCAGCUCACACUCUGGCCACGACAGAAUUGUCUGGUGUCCCCAGGACUGAAGCCAGGCCUGGAAGAAUCAGGGCAUUGUUCUGGGGACAGAGGGGGCCCCACCCCGCCCACUCGCCCAGCUCUGCUGAGUCACCACUCCGAAGUCAGUGGGUGCCGCAGCCCCGGUCCUGUUUGUCCAGCUGCCUGGGAGGGGUGGGCACCUCGGAGGAGCUGGCACCCCCAGAGUGGGUGGGCACUGACCACCCAGCACCAGCCCGCCACUGGGACCCAGCCCUCCCGGCCGAGGGUGGAGGGUGGGUGGGGGCAUCGGGAAGAGCGAUAUGGUGUGUUUCAGGAGCAAGCGGCCCUGGGACUGGAGGGGGAGCCCACGCCGGGGGUCCUGGGGGGCGGGCUCCCCUCCACUUGUGGCCCCACCCAGGAGGUCACGUGGCCCCGCCCUGAGGAGUCAGCGAUGUGGGCACCCCCUUGCUCUGCUCCAAGGACAUCUCCAGGGUCCGUGACGAAAACCAGCAGUCCAGGCCAGCCCAGCCCAGCAGACUGGGGAAGAACAGAGCUGCCCCCAACCCGGCCCUCAGCCCUGGAGCCUCCCGAGUCCAGCCGCCCUGCCCUCCCAACCCAGCCCGGGCCCAGUUCUCCUGGGGCCUCCGCCCGGCACCCGCUUGACCUGCCCACUUCCUCUCACGGUCUUGCCCGACCAGCACCACUGCCAGCUGACUCACCCCCGUCCCCUUCCCGGCCUUGCUCUGACCUUGCCCCACAUGUCCACGUGCCUCGGGGACACCCGUUCCAGCAGGACCAGCACCACACAUGCUCCGGACCUCAGACUGAGCUCCCUGGGGCUUUCCUGGAGGUCCAGGGCCUAGGGACCCACCUGCCGAUGCAGGGGGCACGGCAUCGAUCCCUGGUGUGGGGAGAUUCCACUUGCCACAGGGCAGCUGAGCCCCUGCGCCUUAAUUACGCAGCCCAAGCUCUAGAGCCCGGGCUCUAUAGCAAGAGCAGCCCCCGCUCGCUGAGGUGAGACCAGACCCACGCAGCAGUGAAGACCCGGCGCAGCCAAGAAAGAGAAGGGAAUCUAAAGACGGAACUUGCUGUCAUCUCCUCCACACUCCGCGACCUUGAGCAGGACAGGGUCCUGGGCUCCUCGCGUGGGCCCAGGGCCACGGCAGGGGUCUUUGUAAGAGAAGGUGCUCCAGCAGCCCGAAGGAUGGAAGAGGGACCGCAGCCAGGCCCGCGGCACCUCCAGAAGCGGGAGCAGCAGGGACAGGCCGACCCUGGGUCCUGCAGCAGGGAGCAGCCUGCCGCACCUGAUUCCAGCCCAAAGCGGCCGAGUUCAGACUCGGGGUCUCCAAGCUGCGCGGCGUGACUCUGCGGACUGCGGGGCUUUUUCCGGCAGCCACGGGACCCUGACAGCAGCGCCUCUCCUCACCUUCAGGAGAGAGGAGGCGGAAACGGUCAGUGCAGCCUGGCCUCUUCCUCACCUCCUGUGUCCACCCGUCUCUGUCUGUGGUCAGUCUGUCCGCCCGUUCCUAAGGCACCACCCUCGCCAGGCCCACACCCUCCCCUGGGGGACAGCCAGGCCACCGCCACAUGCAGGAGGUGGGGGCCGUCACCCCGGGCCUCUGCUCUCUCCACGUCCCCAUGGCUCUCCCGGCUUCCGGCCCGCCCCUGAGCCGGGCCCCCCGGGGCCCCCCAG
ensembl:lincRNA